rnacentral:rRNA from 1 species
AGAGUUUGAUCCCGGCUCAGGAUAAACGCUUGCGGUGUGCCUUAUGCAUGCAAGUCGAACGGUCUCGAUUCAUCGAGAUAGUGGCGAACGGGUGAGUAACGCGUAAGUAACCUGCCCCUAAGUAAGGAAUAACUCUGAGAAAUUGGAGCUAAUACCUUAUGUGUUGUUGGGAGUAAUUUCCCAUCAGUAAAGCCCUCGGGCGCUUAGGGAAGGGCUUGUGUCCGAUUAGCUAGUUGGUAGGGUAAUGGCUUACCAAGGCGAUGAUCGGUAGCUGGUUUGAGAGGACGGCCAGCCACACUGGGACUGAGACACGGCCCAGACUCCUACGGGAGGCAGCAGCAAGGAAUAUUGUGCAAUGGGCGAAAGCCUGACACAGCGACACCGCGUGGGGGAUGAAGGCCUUCGGGUUGUAAACCCCUUUUCUCAGGGAAGAAUAAUGACGGUACCUGAGGAAUAAGUCUUGGCUAACUACGUGCCAGCAGCCGCGGUAAUACGUAGGAGGCGAGCGUUAUCCGGAUUUACUGGGCGUAAAGAGGGCUCAGGCGGCUUUUCAAGUCGGAUGUAAAAUCUCCCGGCUUAACUGGGAGGGACCAUUCGAUACUGUUGGGCUAGAGGGCAGCAGGGGGAGGUGGAAUUCCCGGUGUAGUGGUGAAAUGCGUAGAUAUCGGGAGGAACACCAGUGGCGAAGGCGGCCUCCUGGGCUGUUGCUGACGCUGAGGCCCGAAGGCGUGGGGAGCAAACAGGAUUA